rnacentral:rRNA from 1 species
AGCACCCGCGGUAAUUCCAGCUCCAAUAGCGUAUAUUAAAGUUGUUGCAGUCACAAAAGCUCGUAGUUCAGAAUACUCGGGAGUCAGUAGGUCGGUCGUGCCACUGGUAUGAACUGGUUUUACUGAUUCCUCCCUCUUGAAGAACUGUAAUGCCAUUAAUUUGGUGUUGCAGGGAAUCAGGACUGUUACUUUGAAAAAAUUAGAGUGUUUAAAGCAGGCUUUAGCUUGAAUACAUUAGCAUGGAAUAAUGAAAUAGGACGUUUGAUCCUAUUUUGUUGGUUUCUAGGAUUGACGUAAUGAUUAAUAGGGAUAGUUGGGGGCAUUAGUAUUCAAUUGUCAGAGGUGAAAUUCUUGGAUUUAUUGAAGACUAACUACUGCGAAAGCAUUUGCCAAGGAUGUUUUCAUUAAUCAAGAACGAAAGUUAGGGGAUCGAAGACGAAUCAGAUACUCGUACGUGAGUCUUAACCAUAAACUAUGCCGACUAGGGAUCGGAUGAUGUUAAUUUUUUAAUGACUCA